GCCAGCAUAGCAUAGUGGUUUGAGUGUUGGACUACAACUCUGGAGACCAGGGUUCGAUUCCCGGCUCAGCCA